GAUGAACGCUAGCGGCAGGCCUAACACAUGCAAGUCGAGGGGUAACAGGAGAGCUUGCUCUCGCUGACGACCGGCGCACGGGUGCGUAACGCGUAUACAAUUUACCUUAUACUGGAGGAUAGCCCGGAGAAAUCCGGAUUAAUACUCCAUAACAUUACAGAAUCGCAUGAUUCCAUAAUUAAAGUUUCGGCGGUAUAAGAUGAGUAUGCGUCCUAUUAGUUAGUUGGUAAGGUAACGGCUUACCAAGACAGCGAUAGGUAGGGGGCCUGAGAGGGUUAUCCCCCACACUGGUACUGAGACACGGACCAGACUCCUACGGGAGGCAGCAGUGAGGAAUAUUGGACAAUGGAGGCAACUCUGAUCCAGCCAUGCCGCGUGAAGGAAGAAUGUCCUACGGAUUGUAAACUUCUUUUAUUUGGGAAGAAACUUCUCUACGUGUAGAGAACCGACGGUACCAAACGAAUAAGGACCGGCUAACUCCGUG
rnacentral:rRNA from 1 species